rnacentral:rRNA from 1 species
UGUCCAGACUCCUACGGGAGGCAGCAGUGAGGAAUAUUGGUCAAUGGGCGGGAGCCUGAACCAGCCAAGCCGCGUGAAGGAAGAAGGCGCCAGGCGUCGUAAACUUCUUUUGUCGGGGAACAAAGGGCGCCACGCGUGGCGUUGUGAGUGUACCCGAAGAAAAAGCAUCGGCUAACUCCGUGCCAGCAGCCGCGGUAAUACGGAGGAUGCGAGCGUUAUCCGGAUUUAUUGGGUUUAAAGGGUGCGUAGGCGGAUUUUUAAGUCAGCGGUAAAAUGUCCGGGCUCAACCCGGGCCGGCCGUUGAAACUGGGGAUCUUGAGUGGGCGAGAAGUAUGCGGAAUGCGUGGUGUAGCGGUGAAAUGCAUAGAUAUCACGCAGAACUCCGAUUGCGAAGGCAGCAUACCGGCGCCCGACUGACGCUGAGGCACGAAAGCGUGGGGAUCGAACAGGAUUAGAUACCCGAGUA